GACGAACGCUGGCGGCGUGCCUAAUACAUGCAAGUCGAGCGGAAUGAUGAAGAAGCUUGCUUCUUCUGAUUUUAGCGGCGGACGGGUGAGUAACACGUGGGCAACCUACCUUGUAGAUUGGGAUAACUCCGGGAAACCGGGGCUAAUACCGAAUAAUCCAUUUUGCUUCAUGGCGAGAUGUUGAAAGGCGGCUUCGGCUGUCACUACGAGAUGGGCCCGCGGCG
rnacentral:rRNA from 1 species